UGACUUUUUUCUUAAUCAAACUUUUUUUUAGGUUUGACCAAGUUUAUAGAAAAAUAUAGCAACAUUUUUAACACAAAAUAAACAUAUUAUCAAAAUAAAUUCAAUGUUAUAUCUAAUGAAACUAAUUUGGUGUUGUAGAUGACGCUAAUUUUUUCUAUAAACUUGGUCAAACCUAAAAAAAGUUUGAUUAAGAAAAAAAAUCA
rnacentral:pre_miRNA from 1 species